GACGAGGUGGCAGAGCCGUUAAGGUGAUGGCCUGCUAAUCCAUUGUGCUGUGCACACAUGGGUUCGAAUCCCAUCCUCGUCG